UGGAAGAAAUCAAUUCAUAUUGCAAAUAUAUUCAUGGUUUCGAAUUCUCCUCUAGCCAAAAGAGGUUUAGUUCCUCAUACUUGCAAUUAAACAGAAACAAUUGAAAUUAAACAUUAAAAACCAAAGUAGAAUACACCUAGAAUGCUCCAGCAAUCCAAAUUGAAUGACUAGCACAACUCCAAGCAAUCCUCCUUCCUUGCAAAUAUGCGGCACCAAGGUGUGAGUGGUGAAUGGAUGGUCUCUUGUGGUGGUGGAUGGAUAUAGGUGAGUUAUGGUGAAGGGUGGAGAGUUGUGUAGAUGAUGUGGUGUCUUUGGAUGAUGGCCCCCAAAUUAUGGUGAAGGGUGGAUGUAUUUAUAGGCUAGGGAGAGGAGUGUAUGAAGUUGUAAUGAGUGGAUGUAAUGGGUGUAGUGGGUGAGUGUUGUGGUAAUGAGUGGAUGUAAUGGGUGUAGUGGGUGAGUGUUGUCGUAAUAAGUGGAUGUAAUGGGUGUAGUGGGUGAAUGUUUGGUAAUGAGUGGAUGUAAUGGGUGUAGUGGGCGGAUGUUUGGUAAUGAGUGGAUGUAAUGGGUGUAGUGGAUGGAUGUUUGGAGUUGUAGGUCAACACACUUGCACACACACAUGUUGAUUUCUAGCCUUCAAAUCUUCAAAAACGUCCAUCCUCAUGUCUCCAUGCUUGCACUAUCCAAUCUUGGCUAAAAAAUGCUCCAAAAUGCUCCAAAAUGCACUUUCUUGCCAACUUUGUUAUUAUGACCUACAAACACACGAAAAUAGCUUAAAAUACAUAAUUAACUAAGAAAUAACAACACAAAUGCACAAAAACAAGUUAACUAAGUCACAUAAAUAUGUUCCUAUCAGUGCUUGAGGGUAAGGAUUGCUAAAAUCUAUGUAAGUGAUGAUCUUUGACAUGUCAUGUUCAUUGGAAAUCCCUAAGGCAAAUGUUGGAAGGUUUAGGUUAUGUUUUGUUUUGCUCGAGGACUAGGAAAAGCUAAGUGCGGGGGAAUUUGAUAGGAGCAUAUUUAGGCAACUUUGUUAGCUUGUUUUCUUGCAUUUAUGUUGUUAGUUCUUACUUAUUAUAGUGUUUUAAGCUAUUUUUGUGUGUUUGUAGGUCCAAAUGACAAAGUUGGCAAGAAAGUGCAAUUUGGAGCAUUUUAGAGCAGUUUUGAGCUUGGAAUGGAUAUCAUAUGUGGGGAGCACUUUGGAUGGACGUUUUGAAGUUCAAAAGGCUAGGAAUAUGCUAAGGAGAUGAAGAAAAUAAAUCCAAGACAAAGAAGAUAAGGAAUCAGCUCAAAAGAAGGAAACAUUAUCGACAACCUUAUCUUAACCAACCUUAUCCAAACUAACCUUAUCUUAUCUUAUCCUAUUCUAAUCUUAUCAUGCCUUAAUUCCAGCUACAAGGGGGAAUUAUUUUCAGACUUGGAUACAUAAAAACUUGUUUCUAGAAGGCCUAUCCCUUCUCCUAUUAACAUGCCGCACCACCCUUU
rnacentral:lncRNA from 1 species